CUGGUGAGAGAAGACAGAGGAGCCUUGCCAGAGGCUCACUAGGAGCUGCCUUGUGCCCCAUGCACAAGGUGUCUUGGACUUUGCGCCUUUUCCACCUCCAUCCAGACCCAUUAAGCUGCUUCCUGAGGAUUCUGAGUGGACAGAAACAGCCUCUGGAAUGCCUUGCUAGCCAAGCACGGAAUUCAACUGGUCAUUUUUACUGACAAAGAAGGCAACGAUUCGGCACGGAAAUAAUUUGGGCUACUGCCUGUGUUUGAGAUAACUCUCCGUAAGAGAUGCUGGCUCGGAUGUUUCUUUCUCUCCAUCCACAGUGCUAAUUAUAAAAGACCAGUUUGUAGUGAUGGAGAAAUGUCCAAAGGAGCCAAAAAGGAGACAAGCAGCAUUCAGAUGGAGGGGAUAGGAUGGAGAGAAAGCACCAGCCUCCCUGGAGAUGUAAUAGGCUUAGUGGUCCUGCUUGACACAUGUCGGAUAAAAUAAUAAAAAACCCCACAACAAUGUUUAUAAGAAGAUUAGCUCGAACACGGUGUAAUUUCUCCAGGGACUGGCCGUGUUUGAAGCUCAAACCACCAACUCCCUGAGCCUUAUCAGAGUAAUGAAUUUCCACCACUUUGGGGCAUUAAAAAUCCUGAUGCCGGCCCCUUUCCCCGCCUGGAACCCCUCGGAUUCGAGGCGCAUCAGCUGGGGCUGGUUGGACUUGUGCCGUGCCCCUCCUCGCCGGGCCGGAGGUGCGGCGUUGGGAGUUAACUCGCUGGAAAUAACCGGAUGUGACUGUCUAAUUUGUGGCUGCCAUCCCUCCGGGAAAAAAAACCCUGUCUCUGGGCAGCAGAUUAUCCUUGGGCUCAUUACAACAUUGUUCCCAAACAAAUCCCCCAGGCCUCUGCCUGUAAUCACUUUUACGUACGUGUGGGCAAAUAUCCCUCCGUCCGUGCAUGCGGGUGGGGAUGGAGCCGGAGCCACGUGAGAAACGGGAGAAGGGAUGCAGCCACAACCCCUUGGAUAGAGGCUGGAAACCAGCAGUACUGACCACUGGUCAAAUUUCAGCCAAAACUGGGUUGGAAUCAGGUUCGAUUUCCCUGAAAACCAGGUUUGCUGGCCUUUUUCUUGGUUCACCGACUUUGGCGUUUUUUUAAAGAAAAGCAUCUAAAUGGUGAAUGUGAAGCAACCAGCUUUUAAAAAUUCAGCUGAAAUUCUCAGCAGGUCUGGGGGAGAGCAGAGAGGUUAUCCUGUACUUCCUGUGGCUGUCCUAGAAUGAUCCAGCAGAGCCGUGGAGCUGCUCCAAUGCUCGGUCCCUGCAAGCAUUGCCUGGGGCUACGUUCCUUCAGCCCACUUUUUCCAGGAGGGGUCCUGUGCUAAAAUCCAUCAUUCUCAUGGUUUUAACCCAUGUAUUUUGGUGUAUCAGAACGAAGACUCAGCAGCCAAGUGGCUCUGUGGUAUCUGCUGUGAUAUCUGUUAACGGUGGGGAUGUGGUGGAGGCGUUGCCAACCCCCAAAAUCAGGAGGGUCGCCUGUAGUCAGUCUUUAGAGUCUGUUUGGGGACCUCUUUGGUGAUAUUUUGGGGACAGCCUCUGGGGGAACAUCUCAGGGGACCGGCGGGGUUGAGGUGUUUAGAAGAUGUGUAGCGAUGGUGACGAUGUUUGUGGGGUGGGGAGUUUGUGAGAUCUGGGAUGUCUGUGGGACGUGGAGGGCAGGCUCGUGGUACUCAGGGAAUUCGGAUGGGAUUUGUGAUAUCUGUGCUUUCUAGUUUGGAAGGCCUGAAAGAGCUUGCGGUAUUUUGGAAGUGCCCAGAUCCACACUGGAGCAGCUGGAGGGGGAAGAUCCUUGUAUCCCACUCGCCCAUCCCUGGAAACCUCCUUCCCUGGGAUUACAGGCGAUUUAGCAGGCGUGCAAACACAGCCACCCUCACCUGGCAGGCAGAGAGGCAGGAGCAAAGGUGGGGAAUCCCCUCACCCUUCUUCCCACCUUUCCCUCAGCUCUCCUGGUUAUCCACAGGGAUGCAUUUCCUGCCAGUCCUGCAGACUCAUAUGGGAAGAGCUAUGCAAAGGGGCUUGGAAGUUGUCCUCACUUUAAAAAUUGGUUUUGCAGGAAUUCUCAAUGGCCAAAGUGCCCUUGCUAGAGGAGAUACUUGGAUUGGGUGGUGCUCUGUGAGAAACUCCCUGAGAGAUCUCUGCCUUUCCCUCCUUUCCAUGACUUACGAUCCUCCUCCUGUCACCCCUCCACUCCACACGGUGAGGAAAUUAUUUAUUUAGGAAGGGAGGGGCUGUUAAGGGAGAUGGAUUAUGCAUUUGUGGUUUAAAUACAGGGAGAAGGGAGAAAAUACUCUUCUUCCUUCUUCCCCCCCCUCCUCCAUCUCCCUUGGUGGGCUUGGGCCUACAUCCCCUAUUUUUCAUCCAAAUGGAACGGUU